ACUAUUUUGUCAUGCGAUAUGAACUACUAAGUUGAAGAUCAAGGUGGAAUUCGCUGAUAUUAUUCUGGUGAUAUAUUAUAUUCGGAAGGAUAUCCUUAUUUAAACCAGAGGUACUAUGGAAAAUUUGUUAGU